rnacentral:lncRNA from 1 species
GUUACUGUUUCAUGAUCAACAGUCAUUAAGGUCAUAUGGUGACCUCUAGAAUGCAUUUUUUUAGCUCCUUUUAAGCAAAACUAUAAUAAUCUGUAAUUUUCCACGAUUCACGAGUUAUAAGAUUUGUAAAUUAUCUGGAUUUUUACUUAGGAAAGCAAUCAUAACUAAAACCCAAAGGAAAGCAUUUUACAAGUUUUUGAGAUAACAAAAAGUACAAUUAAACACUGUUCUAUAGAGGAGGAUGUGUAUGGGGGUUUACAGAAUAGAGAAUAACGGGCAAAACAAAAUUUAAUAGAGAACAAUGGGGUGCCAAAAUAUAAAGAAUAAAAAUUCAAAACUGGAUAAAAAUAUACUGAUUACAGAAAAAGAACGAUAUCCAGAACACAGUGGUCAAGUAUUUGCAGAAUGGCCAUUAUUGUUAGAGAUAAAGAAUAAUGAGUGAGAAAAUUAAAGAAAAACAGAAAUAAAGGAUCCCCCAUUCCUACCCUCUUCUAUAGAGUUUAUUGUUAAUGGAUUGUCUGAUAGUUAAUUUGUAAAGAACCCAUUCAAACACAGAUAAAUCUGUAAAGUUUGAAUUCAUUUAGGUAAAGUCCUGUUGUAAAAUUGUAAGAAAACUUGUUAACUGCUAAUAAAAGUAAAUAAGUGUGCAAUUACAUGGCUGAUGGGGCUUGGAGUAGAGAACGUAAUUAACAGG